rnacentral:lncRNA from 1 species
CUUAUCAUUGUGUGCUAAUUAGUAAAAUGAGAGGUGUUAUAUUAGGCCCAUUAGAGAUUAGGAUAUUUAGUUAAUUUAAUAAAGAGAAAAUAAAAGAGUGAUAGAAAAAAAAAGAAACAGUAGUGGAGAGAAGUUAGCAGAAGAGGAAUUUGAGAACUGUUGUACGAACGAGAGGGAAGGGGAAGAAAACUUCUGGAAUCCGAUUCUUAGAGCAACCUUCGAUCCAAAAUAAUAAGGUAAGGGGGUUUAUC